CAAUCUCUAGGUAUGUCGAGAAUUAGGUGUUCAAGUCCAGAUUCAGAACAAGAACAGCGAAUUGACGUAGAGUCAGCUAGGCAAGAUGCGUCUCUUAACAUACAAAGGGCAGCCGCAUCCGAUACUUUACGAUUUAACCAGGGUCGAGCUACUAUCAAGCCAUUUUCUAAAGGCGAUUUCGUAUUCAUCAAAAGUUGUGAACGCAACCAAACCAAGUUAGAUAGGAAGUUUAGGGGUCCUUAUGUAAUAAUCGCAGUAUUCGAUAAUGACCGUUACGAGUUGAAAUCAUAACCGGUUCACAUCGUACUUUCAAAUACGCGCACGAGAACUUGCGUCCAGUACCUCGGGGUCAUGACGGGUUAGUUGAAAUAUCUACUAGUUUGAUGACUGAAGAAGAGGCCAUGACGGCGCCGAACGAUGUUGAACUCGAUAAUAGUCACCUUGACAGACCGAAUGUUUGUGAUAUACAUUGACUGCAGGCUCCGAUACACUGUCCGCAGGAUCAGACACGCUUACAGCGGAGUCUGAUACCCUAAGUAACAUUUCAGAUCGCGAAAUCUUUGAGCAUGAGGUCCGAAUUCACGCAGAGCAAGACAGUCCGUAACUUAUAGGACUGCAAUCUGAUGCGCCCGAGGACGGUCGAAAGUCAGUCCGGCCGUGACGGCGCAUUCCUAGCGCCAUGUUAAGAAAUACUGCAAAUAUUGGAACGAGAUUUGACAGUUGUCAAGUCUGGCGGAGCGUCGUAUCGAUGGUCAGCGCGGCCAUGUUGAAUCGUUUGGAGUUUUUCGAACGUCAACGGCGAGCGCACCACGUCUGCGACGAAUCGCUUUUGUUCUAAAUAAUCUGGUGUCUUUUUGUUACAAAACUAAUUGAAAGUGCUUGUUUAAGAGAUUUCCUAAUUAAUAGUAAAUAGAUUUUGAGUUUGGUGACCAACAUUAAAAUUAUUAAGAUAUGGCUGAUUCUAAUAAUGAAGGGCAUCCGCCCAUAUAUAUGUU